rnacentral:rRNA from 1 species
UACGAAGGGGAGCUAGCGUUGCUCGGAAUUACUGGGCGUAAAGCGCACGUAGGCGGUCUUUUAAGUCGGGGUGAAAUCCUGGAGCUCAACUCCAGAACUGCCUUCGAUACUGGAAGACUUGAGUCCGGGAGAGGUGAGUGGAACUGCGAGUGUAGAGGUGAAAUUCGUAGAUAUUCGCAAGAACACCAGUGGCGAAGGCGGACUCGCUGGCCCGUACUGGACGCUGAGGUGCGAAAGCGUGGGAG